rnacentral:rRNA from 1 species
UACGUAGGUGGCGAGCGUUGUCCGGAUUUACUGGGCGUAAAGAGCGCGCAGGCGGUCGUACAAGUCGCGUGUGAAAGCCCCCGGCUCAACUGGGGAGGGUCACGCGAUACUGUUCGACUCGAAGGCAGGAGAGGGAAGCGGAAUUCCCGGUGUAGUGGUGAAAUGCGUAGAUAUCGGGAGGAACACCAGUGGCGAAGGCGGGUCUCUGGGCCGAUACUGACACUGAGAAGCGAAAGCGUGGGGAGCGAACAGG